AUACACUCUGUAUAUAUACCUCUGUCCUCAUAUCAAUAAUACAUACGUCUGAACUUCUCAUUAUUCUUCUCUUCUGUUUUCCGCUUCUCUGCAUAACUUUGUUUCUAGCAUUUCAAGUGCUAUCAGUGGUAUCAGAGCAUCGUGAUAGAUGGAGAAGAACCUACGAAGGAAGAACAAAAAGAAGAAUUUCAGAGGAAGGAUGACAAAACACUGAAUAUCAUUCAUCAGUGUGUAGACGACACACACUUUGAGAAGAUCCAAACGCAAAUACGACAAAGGAAGCAUGGAGUAUUUUGUGUCGAUGCCAUGCUGGUGAUGAAAAGAUCAAGAAAGUUCGACUUCAUAACUUGAGACGACAAUGAGUUACUGCAAAUGCAAGAUGAUGAGAAGAUCUGUGAGUAUUUUAACAAGAUUGUGACGUUAACGAAUCAGAUGAAAAGCUGUGGAGAGAAGAAGCUCGAUGAUGUGUCGAUUAUGGAAAAGAUAAUGAGAUCUUUACCUAAGAGAUUUAACUUCAUUGUAGUAGCUAUUGAGGAAUCAAAAGAUCAGGAGAAAUUAAAGAUUGAAGAGCUUCAGAGCUCUCUGGAGGCUCACGAAAUGAAGCUCUAUGACCAAAAACCUGUCAGACUGGAUGAUCAGGCACUGAGAGUGCAACAUGGUUAUGGUGAUGGAAAGAAGAAAUUCAAAGCCUGGAAGGGUAAGUCAGCGACACAAGGUAUAUGGAAGAACGAUAAUUUUGCACAAAAGAAAUGGAAGAACGAAGAAAUUGAUGAACGGGAAGGCAAACCAGGAUCUUCAGAAAGAAGAAACACCAACGAUAGUCACUAAAAGAAGAAGGAUAAACGAAACGUGGAAUGUUUUACGUGCCAUAAGAUGGGACACUUCUCCUAUGAGUGUUGGUUCAAUAAGGGUAGAUCUUCCAAGAAGGAUCAAGGCAGGAAGCACAUCUGGCGAAGGAGGAAUCAGACACAGAACCUUUAGUACUCAUGGUUACAACAUCUCCAGAAAACGACGAAGCACUGAAUUGUGUGAAACAGUCCUGGUACUUAGAUUCGGGUUGUUCGAAUCACAUGACUUGUAACAGAGAGUGGAUGUUUAAUGUUGAUGNAACGAGGAAAAGCAAGGUAAGGGUGGCAGAUAAUAACGUCUUGCAGGUUGAAGGCAUCGGGGACGUGGUUAUAAAGAGGAAGAAUGGAACGCAUGUGACGAUUAAGGAUGUUNUAUUGGUUCCAGAGAUGAAAUGUAAUCUGCUAAGCCUCAGACAGCUAGUAGAAAAAGGCUUCACGGUGACUAUGGGCAAGAAGGGUCAAGCAGAAAUCUUAGACAGGAACAAGAAAGUGAUUCUGCGAACAAACAUCUCCAGAAAUCGUACGUUCCAAGUCUGUCUGGAUAUGGUAGAAAUGCAAUGCAUGACAGUUGUGAAAGAAAAUGAUAAUUGGAGAUGGCAUCUCAGGUUUGGACAUCUCAAUUUUGCAGAUUUACAGAAACUAAGCAAGAAAGAAAUGGUUUCUGGGUUACCUGUCAUUACUAUACCUGAGAAAUCAUGCGAGUCUUGCAUUGUUGCAAAGCAAACAAGAAGACCCUUCAAAGCACAGUUAGAAAUGAGAUCAAAUGAGCGUCUUGAAGUGAUACACUCAGAUGUGUGUGGUCCAUUAGAAACACCAACACUGGCUGGAAAUAGAUAUUUCAUCACGUUCAUUGACGAGUUUAGUCGAAUGACAUGGGUAUUUCUCAUGCGGUUUAAAAGCGAGGCUCUGGAAAUAUUCAAAAGGUUUAAGGUUCGCACUGAGAAAGAGGUUGAAAGACAAAUUAAGUUGCUGAGAACUGAUGGCGGUGGAGAAU
rnacentral:lncRNA from 1 species